rnacentral:rRNA from 1 species
CCUACGGGGGGCAGCAGUCGAGAAUCAUUCACAAUGGGGGAAACCCUGAUGGUGCGACGCCGCGUGGGGGAAUGAAGGUCUUCGGAUUUUAAACCCCUGUCAUGUGGGCGCAAAUUAAAAAGAUAGUACCACAAGAGGAAGAGACGGCUAACUCUGUGCCAGCAGCCGCGGUAAUACAGAGGUCUCAAGCGUUGUUCGGAAUCACUGGGCGUAAAGCGUGCGUAGGCUGUUUCGUAAGUCGUGUGUGAAAUGCGCGGGCUCAACCCGCGGACGGCACAUGAUACUGCGAGACUAGAGUAAUGGAGGGGGAACCGGAAUUCUCGGUGUAGCAGUGAAAUGCGUAGAUAUCGGGAGGAACACUCGUGGCGAAGGCGGGUUCCUGGACAUUAACUGACGCUGAGGCACGAAGGCCAGGGGAGCGAAAGGGAUUAGAUACCCUGGUAGUC